CGGUUUUUUGACCCGGGUAUAUAAGGUACCUAAUAAACGUAAAUCAUUCACUCUCCUCAUAUGCAUCUUCUAUCAGAACUCCUUCUCUAUCGUCACCCUCGAAACCCUAGCGGCGCAUAUGCAUCUUCUUCAACAAAUCAACAAAUCUUCUUCAGCAAAUCCCUAAUCCCUUCACUUCAUAUUCAUCUUCCUUUCCUCUCCAAACAACAGUCUAAGUGGAGAGAGAGGCGACCAAAUAUAAAGAAUCGUCGGUGUUGGAGCCGAUAUCCGGAAGGAAGAAAUAGUCAUCGUCAUCGUCGGUCUGAUCCGACCUUUGUACCACACUCUUCCUGCAUAGUUGUACACAUUUGUGAAGCAACCUCGACAAAGUGACUGAUUGAGUUUGAAAACACAGAAGCUGGGAGUUUAACAAUUGAAGAGUUCACUCAGAGCACCUUGAAUAAUGAGGAGGAAAUGCGGUCUUGUAAACAAUCUGCCGAUGCUCUAAAGUUGCCUGGAAUGACAGAUGUGGUUUGCGAGCACAAAAGGAGUGCAGUUCAAUCUGGUUUUGGGCUUUGCAAGGAUUGCUAUAUGGAGUUUUGUGGUGGACUUGAGGGUUCGGAACCUCCCGUAUUUCAACGUGCCCAAGUGGAAAGAUUAUCCAUGAUAGAGGUUAGUUUGGCAAAAGUUAAAAGGGUUUAAACUUGCAAAUUAAUGGGUAGAUAACCAAGGGAUUAUUGGACAAAUAUGGGUAAUAAACCUUUGGAAGG